GAAAUGCGAUAAUUAAUGUGAAUUGCAGAAUUCAGUGAAUCAUCGAGUCUUUGAACGCACAUUGCGCCCCCUGGUAUUCCGGGGGGCAUGCCUGUCCGAGCGUCAUUGCUGCCCUCAAGCACGGCUUGUGUGUUGGGCUACCGUCCCUGGCAACGGGGACGGGCCCAAAAGGCAGUGGCGGCACCAUGUCUGGUCCUCGAGCGUAUGGGGCUUUGUCACCCGCUCCCGUAGGUCCAGCUGGCAGCUAGCCUCGCAACCAAUCUUUUUAACCAGGUUGACCUCGGAUCAGGUAGGGAUACCCGCUGAACUUAAGC
rnacentral:misc_RNA from 1 species